AAGUUGCUGGGAUUACAGGCAUAUGCCACCACACCCAGCUAAUUUUUGUAUUUUUAGUAGAGACGGGGUUUCGCCAUGUUGGCCAGGCUGGUCUCCAACUCCUGACCCCAGGCAAUCCAUCUGCCUCGGCCUCCCAAAGUGCUGGGAUUACAGGUGUGAGCCACCGCGCCCAGCCGGGUGAAUUUUUUUCUGCUUAAAGGAGCAGCUAAAUUCGCAUCAGUUUAAUUUUCUAUGCCAAAAAAGUGAAUGGCAAGCAAAGCAACAAACUGAUGAACCUGGUCGCUGACAUUCUGCUAGCAAUGACAUAAGACUUCACAACUGUAAUGUGAUUUAUUUUUAUAAUUGUUUAUAAUGGUAACUGAAAGAAAUGGGUCUUUUGGUAUCUGUUCAAUUUUUUUUAGGUUGUUAUUUCCCUAAGGAAAAGGCAAGUUUAGACUUAUUCUCUCUUUCAGAAAAGAGGUGAUGAUUUUGAAACCGUCUCCUUCUGGCUCUCUAACACAUGCCGAUUUUUGCACUGCUUGAAACAGUACAGUGGAGAAGAGGGCUUUAUGAAGCACAACACAUCUCGCCAGAAUGAACACUG
rnacentral:lncRNA from 10 species